rnacentral:rRNA from 1 species
GUAGGUGGCAAGCGUUGUCCGGAAUUAUUGGGCGUAAAGCGCGCGCAGGCGGUCCUUUAAGUCUGAUGUGAAAGCCCACGGCUCAACCGUGGAGGGUCAUUGGAAACUGGGGGACUUGAGUACAGAAGAGGAAAGCGGAAUUCCAAGUGUAGCGGUGAAAUGCGUAGAGAUUUGGAGGAACACCAGUGGCGAAGGCGGCUUUCUGGUCUGUAACUGACGCUGAGGCGCAAAAGCGUGGGGAGCAAACAGGGAUUAGAUACCCUGGUAGUCCACGCCGUAAACGAUGAGUGCUAAGUGUUAGGGGGGUUUCCGCCCCCUUAGUGCUGCAGCUAACGCAUUAAGCACUCCGCCUGGGGAUACGGCCGCAAGGCUG